GACGAACGCUGGCGGCGUGCUUAACACAUGCAAGUCGAACGGAAAGGCCCUGCUUUUGUGGGGUGCUCGAGUGGCGAACGGGUGAGUAACACGUGAGUAACCUGCCCUUGACUUUGGGUUAACUUCAGGAAACUGGGGCUAAUACCGGAUAGGGGCUCCUGCUGCAUGGUGGGGGUUGGAAAGUUUCGGCGGUUGGGGAUGGACUCGCGGCUUAUCAGCUUGUUGGUGGGGUAGUGGCUUACCAAGGCUUUGACGGGUAGCCGGCCUGAGAGGGUGACCGGCCACAUUGGGACUGAGAUACGGCCCAGACUCCUACGGGAGGCAGCAGUGGGGAAUAUUGCACAAUGGGCGGAAGCCUGAUGCAGCAACGCCGCGUGCGGGAUGACGGCCUUCGGGUUGUAAACCGCUUUCGCCUGUGACGAAGCGUGAGUGACGGUAAUGGGUAAAGAAGCACCGGCUAACUACGUG
rnacentral:rRNA from 1 species